rnacentral:lncRNA from 1 species
CGAGCGUGUUGUGUUACAUCUGCGCCCCGACAUCACCCCUUCAGUCCCGUCUAAGACACAGGGCCGUGAGAGGCGUUUGUGGCAGAUCCCACACGUCACCUGCCGCCCCUCCUACGUGGUCCCUGUUGACGGCACGUCUUUCCAGGAAGAUGUAAAGUAUUCAGCGCUUUGACGGGACGCUUCACCGAACCCAUGAAGCAGCUUCACUGCCUGGCGCGUGGCGGGGCAAGGCAGGCAGUCGCUCGUGUUGCAGCGUGGCGGGCGGAAGGUCUUUCUCCACCGGAAUUAGGAAGUGUAACAGUAAGAAUAAUCUGAAGUUCACUGGCUGUGGUAAUCCUUCUAUUGCCCUCCACAUCAUGGUCAUCUGGAGAGGAGGGUUAAGGGGCGAGUGCUGCUGGCAGCAUGGAGCCACAGGGACCCUCGAAGUAAAACCUGUAAGAUAACAUCAAAGACUUGGAGGGAACAUCUGCCUAUCUGGACGACCUGGUGGUGACUUUGGAUGACUGGGUGACACAUCUGACCCGUCUCCGGAGGCUGAUGGUUCUAGAUCAUAUGGCAGCAAGAGGCUGAGUGGUCGGUCGGUCAUAGGGUGCGAGUGGAGGAGCACAAGCUACACUUGUGCUUUGUAAUCAUGAGGUAACAAAUUCCAGCAAGCAUCUGUAAAUAAAUAGUAUUUCUAUAA